GCAGAAGGAGCACCGGCGCCUGCUGGGUGGUGUGGGGAGAGCCCUCAGCUGGCUCUGGACACACCUGCUUCCAGGGCACGCGGCCCAGAGCCGGGCCUGUGGACGGGCCUUUCUUUCUUCUUGGGGUGGACCCCGUCCCCAUGAUCCCUAAAUGGCCACCCCCCAGACAGCCCAACAGGCAGGGAGAUGCCUGCAGGCACUGAGGAUGCCAACAGGGCUGGAGAAAGCUGCAGCGUCCUGCCCCGUCCUCCCCACACCGCUGGCACACGAGCAGUCAACUGGUGCUGCUGAGGCAGGCCAAACACCACAUUUAUAAUUCAAGCUUCCAAGGGAAAAAGAUUCUCAUGUUCUAGCAAAGAUACAAAUUUUAAAAAUUGUCCAAAAAAGGCCUGAAUUUUUAUAUGAAAGUUUUCUGGUGAAAUCUUUUAAGCAGGGAGGAAAAUCCAAUAAUUUUUUUUUAAAAAGGUUUAGCUAUUCCCCAAUGCUAUUUAAUACAAUUGAGGUUAGGACGUUAAGUCCUUAUCAGACUGUGUACUGGAGCCCCGUGUCAUCAGCAAAAGCCGUGUGAGUCAACAGGUGUGAAGACUCAAGAUGCGCACACAGACGCUGUCCGUGGUUUUAUGGGGAAUGAUGAGGGCUGGUCAGUUCUCCUCACGACAAAAGUCAAAACGACUUCCCUGUGUUGCGUGUGAAGCUUGUUAGUGGACAGAGAGGAACGCAGGGUUCUGCCCUGGGAGAAUGACAGCCACAGCGCUGGGUGCCGUCAGGCGGCUUUGUGUGCAGUUAGCGUUUUACAAACUCUGCAAGACGAGAGGACUGU
rnacentral:lncRNA from 1 species